AUUGAACGCUGGCGGCAGGCCUAACACAUGCAAAUCGAGCGGUUGACGGGAGCUUGCUCCCUGAUUCAGCGGCGGACGGGUGAGUAAUGCCUAGGAAUCUGCCUAUUAGCGGGGGACAACGUUUCGAAAGGAACGCUAAUACCGCAUACGUCCUACGGGAGAAAGCAGGGGACCUUCGGUCCUUGCGCUAAUAGAUGAGCCUAGGUCGGAUUAGCUUGUUGGUGAGGUAAUGGCUCACCAAGGCGACGAUCCGUAACUGGUCUGAGAGGAUGAGCAGUCACAAUGGAACUGAGACGCGGGCCAGACUCCCACGGAGGGCAGCAGUGGUGAGUAUUGGACAAUGGUGGAAAGCCUGAUCCAGCCAUGCCGCGUGUGUGAAGAAGGUCUUCGGAUUAUAAAGCACUUUAAGUGGGGAGUAAGGGUUGUAGAUUAAUACUUGGCAAUUUUGACCUUACCGACAGAAUAAGCGCCGGCUAACACUGUGCCAGCCUCCGUCGUAACAC
rnacentral:rRNA from 1 species